rnacentral:rRNA from 1 species
UGAUGCAGCGACGCCGCGUGAGGGAUGACGGCCUUCGGGUUGUAAACCUCUUUCAGCACGGAAGAAGCGAAAGUGACGGUACGUGCAGAAGAAGCGCCGGCUAACUACGUGCCAGCAGCCGCGGUAAUACGUAGGGCGCAAGCGUUGUCCGGAAUUAUUGGGCGUAAAGAGCUCGUAGGCGGUUUGUCGCGUCUGCUGUGAAAGCCCGGGGCUUAACCCCGGGUGUGCAGUGGGUACGGGCAGACUUGAGUGCAGUAGGGGAGACUGGAAUUCCUGGUGUAGCGGUGAAAUGCGCAGAUAUCAGGAGGAACACCGAUGGCGAAGGCAGGUCUCUGGGCUGUUACUGACGCUGAGGAGCGAAAGCAUGGGGAGCGAACAGGAUUAGAUACCCUGGUAGUCCAUGCCGUAAACGUUGGGCACUAGGUGUGGGGAACAUUCCACGUUUUCCGCGCCGUAGCUAACGCAUUAAGUGCCCCGCCUGGGGAGUACGGCCGCAAGGCUAAAACUCAAAGGAAUUGACGGGGGCCCGCACAAGCGGCGGAGCAUGCGGAUUAAUUCGAUGCAACGCGAAGAACCUUACCAAGGCUUGACAUACACCGGACCGGGCCAGAGAUGGUCUUUCCCCCUUGUGGGGC